GGUGUUCCGGUCGCGCCCCCCGAGGUCGGAACCGGAAGGGCCCGACUCCUCCCACCCUUGGUCGGGCCCUUCCACU
rfam:Mycobacterium sp. KMS plasmid pMKMS01, complete sequence.